rnacentral:lncRNA from 1 species
AUAACAUAAGUUCUCUUCAUGAAUACAAAAGAAUAACACCCCUUACGAGUACAACAAAUAAUAUUUCCUACCUUAAGAAGAAGAGUACUGGAUAUAUAAGUAGUGAAGUAGCAGAAUACUUUCUUCUUUCUCUCUAUAGUUUAUCUCUCUAGAGUUUCAGUGAAUUCGUAAGAAAAUAAUGAAGGAAUGAGCUUCUAUUUAUAGAAAAAUGGACUGCAUAGUAACUAAC